GUAAGCUCUAAAGUCAAAUUAAUAAGAAAAUCAGCUUUACCAUAUCCCUCUCUCUCGUUCUGUUUCUAUUGAUCUCUCUCGAUUCUUCUAAGAUCUCAAAGCUUGGUUAAGGUCAUCAAUGGCUUCCAUGAAGAAAGCUUUCAUGGCAUGAGAGCUUUAACUCUGCAUAUCGUGAUCGAUCUCUCUCCGCUGCUCAUUUCUUUGCUUCGUUUCUCUCUGAGAAAUCAUAUGAGUUAAGGUGCCUAUUGAUCCUGAUGGAGACGAUUAUCUCGAAUGGGAAGCAAUGGAUACUGCAAUUUUAAACAUAAUUGAUGCAAGUCUCUCAGAUGAUGCUUUUUCUAAGAUGAUGAAUUGUAAGUCUGCUACAUAGGCCUGGACUACACUGCGAGAUCGUUAUUCUUCGAUUUUUGAGCUUAAGAUCAUGCAUCUUAAGAAUAAUUUGGAUGGAUUGCAAAAAGGCACUGACUCUGUGGAAGUGUAUUGGAAGAAGGUUCGUGCCGCUUGACAACAACUAUCAACUGCUGGUCAUCCUAUUUCAGAUCAGGAUAUGAUUUUGCUUCUUCUCAAAGGCUUACCUAUGGAAUACAAUCACUUCAAGUCUCAUAUCCGUGCUAGACCAGUUCGUAUUACUCUUCCAGAGCUGCGUGAUCUACUCCUAGAGGAAGAGAUUGAUUUGGAUGCUGCUACUAAGUCCUUUACUCCCCCAAUUAUGACUGCUAUGGUUGCUCAAAAAGGCACAGUUAACUCCUCCUCACCACCUGUUGCUCAUGGUGAUAAUUUUCAUUCUGGUUCUGUUGAUCGGGGAGGUGGUAAUCCAAACUGGCAAUCUCACUGGAAUAGACGUCCAAACUAUCGUGGUCAUGGGUCUUGGUCUCCAGGCCGAUCAUGGAAUAAUGGAGGGCGAGGAAAUUCUUGGCAUAAUGGUGGGUCAUGGCAUAAUGGCAACAACCCUGAUACUAUCUGGAAUGGUUCAACCAAUCAAUGGAAUCAUGGUGGUCAGUCUGGAAAUUCUCAUGGUCAAUGGAAUCAAGGUUCUGGUCCAUGGCAUAACAAUGCUGGUUCAUGGCAUCAUAAUAGUGGACCAUGGCAUUAAGGGAGUAACUCAGGGUCAGCACCUCAAUAUUUUGUUUCUCCAAACUCCAGCCCUGGUGUUUUGUCACCUUCUCCUACAGCUCCACCAGUUCCAUCAGCUCAAUCUACUCUAACUACUGACACAUGCCAAAUCUGCCUUCACUUUGGUCAUACAGCUCCAAAUUGCCCACAUCGAGCUAAUUUCUCCUAUCAAGGCAUGCCUCCCUCUCCAACCCUCACAACUCUUACUACAACUAUUAGUGGUUCAUUCUCGGAUCCAAACAUCUGGUUAAUAGACAGUGGUGCUACAAAUCACAUGACUUCAUAUCUUCGACUUCUCUCCAACAUCACUCCUUCAACCUCCACUGAUAAUGUUACUAUGGGUAAUGGUACUGGACUCAGUAUUGUUAAUGUUGGAAGCUCUUCUCUUGUCUCAUGUCAUCAAGUCUUUAAUCUCCCUGAGGUUUUACAUGUUCCUAAUCUGGCCACUAAUCUACUAUAUGUUCAUCAAUUUUGUCUUGAUAAUCACUGCCAGAUUUUAUAUAAUGCCUUGUGGUUCUAAAUUCAGGAUCUGAAGGGGCAAAUUCUGUAUCAAGGCAAGUGCAGUAAUGGUCUUUAUCCACUACCAACAAGAAUCCCUCCCAUUUUACCUCACUUGGCUGCUUUUCAUGGACGAAAAGUUUGUCAUACUUUGGGGCACUAUAGAUUAGGCCAUCCAUCUCAUGAUAUUACCAAUUCUAUGUUAGCUAAAGCUCAAAUUCCUCUUUCUCCUAGUUCACCACAUGUAUGCAGUUUUUGUUUGCAAGGGAAGAUGUGCAAACAACCAUUUCCAUCUUCACAUGUUGUGUCUCAAAUUCCUUUUGAAGUGAUACACUCGGAUGUAUGGGGUCCUACUCCUUAUUCCUCUUUGCAAGGUCACAAGUACUAUGUACUUUUUCUUGAUGAGUGCUGUUUCCUUUAAUAAAGAAAUCAGAUUGUUUCUCUACUUUUGUUCAUUUUCUUGCCUAUGUUCAAAAUCAGUUUGCCACUUCCAUUAAAACUUUCCAAACUGAUGGUGGGGGUGAAUAUGUCAGCACAGAAUUUCAGACCUUUAUUAGUUCCAAAGGCAUCUUACAUCAUAAGUCUUGUCCUUAUACCCCUGAGCAAAAUGGAAGGGCUGAAAGGAAACAUCGACAUUUAGUUGAAACAACUGUUACACUUCUCACUACAACUGCUCUUCCAUCCAAAUAUCUCUUCCAUGCUUUAUCCACAGCCAAUUAUCUUAUUAAUAGAAUGCCCUGCAAGAAUUUACGUAUGCAAUCUCCUUUCUCUAAACUGUUUCAUAAAGAACCAGAUAUUACUCUGUUGAAGGUAUUUGGCUGUGCAUGUUAUCCUCUAUUACGACCCUAUACUCAAUCUAAGGUGCAACCUAGGUAUGAACAAUGUAUCUUUUUGGGAUAUACUUUGGAUUAUAAAGGCUAUCUCUGUCUAGCUCCCAAAACUAAUCGCAUUUACAUCUCUCGACAUGUUAUCUUUGAUGAGGUCUGCUUUCCUUUUAAGAGUGCUUCUUGUUCCUCAGUUCCUACUAAACCACCAGAUUUAACAUCCUCUAUACCUUAUCUACUCUCUUCACCUUUAUGUGUUACUCAUAGACUUGAUGGUUUUCCAGCGGCUACUUCUUCUACUAACACAUUAGCAAGUCCAGUACCUACUGCAAGGGAAAUUGCUUCUUCUGUUGAUGUUACUAAUCCUUCUACUGAGUUUGUACAGGCUUAGCCACCAGACUUUCAUCAGGUACAAGAAGCAUCUUUCACUCCACCAGUUAAUUCUCAUCCUAUGCAGACUCGUUCUAAGUCUGGGAUUCUCAAGUAUCGACAUGGUUUCUUGGUUGCCAAACCACCAGUUGCUCCAUCUCCUCUCUAUGAACCACACACUUAUUCCCAGGCUGCCAAGGUUCCAGAAUGGAAGGCUGUUAUGGAAGAUGAGUUUCAGGCUCUUCAAAAACAACAUACUUUAACUCUUGUUCCUUAUCACCAUUCCAUGAAUAUUGUUGGUUGUAAAUGGCUGUUCAAACUCAAGAAAAAUGCUGAUGGUUCCAUCUCUCGACACAAAGCUCGGUUGGUUGCCAAAGGGUUUCAUCAAGAGGCUGGCCUUGAUUAUGAUGAGACAUUCAGUCCUGUUGUCAAGCACUCUACAGUUUGAUUGAUCCUUGCUUUAGCUGCUCAGUAUCAUUGGUCUGUUAAACAACUUGACGUGAAGAAUGCUUUUCUUCAUGGUGUUCUUCAUGAGGAAGUUUUUAUGCAACAACCUUCAGGUUUUGAAGAUUCUGCUCAACCUCAUCAUGUAUGCCGGUUAUUAAAGUCUCUUUAUGGGUUAAAACAAGCUCCUCGAGCUUGGAAUGAACGGUUCACUACUCAUUUGCUCACUCUUGGUUUUGUUCAAUCCUUGGCUGAUACAUCUCUCUUUGUUCGUGCCUCUGGGAGUGAUAUGCUUGUUCUUCUCUUGUAUGUCAAUGAUAUUCUCUUGACUGGGAAUAAUAGUGUCUUGAUUCAGUAGACCAUUACAGCUCUAAGCCAUGAGUUUGAUAUGAAGGAUCUCGGCCGAUUAACCUAUUUUUUGGGUCUUCAAGUUCAGUAUACCUCUAAAGGUAUUCAUGUUAACCAAUCUAAAUAUGCUACUAAUCUUCUCCUUAAGGCUGGUAUGACUCAAUGCAAGCCUUGUUUUACACCCUGCUUACCUACUACCAAGUUACUAAAGUUUGAUGAACACCUUUAUCUGAUCCUACCCUUUAUCGAAGUUUAGUAGGAGGACUUCAGUAUCUUACCUUCAGCAGGCUUGACAUUGCAUUUGCCGUGAACACUCUUCGCCAGUUUAUGCAUGUACCCACCGAUACACAUUUUGCUGCAGUCAAACGUGUGCUACGAUACUUGGCUGGUACUCUGACCAUGGCAUUCAUUUUACCUCUGGUGAUGUUCAUUUGCAAGCCUACUCCGAU